ensembl:lncRNA
AAAGAAUAUUCCUGUGAUAUUUAUUGGCGGAACUUGACUGACAUCUGUGCUUUGCCUGUGUGCAGAAGAAGAACAAGGACCAGAUCUCCAGUCUUCUCUGUCACAUCCCAACCCCCCAACCCCUCUAUCCUCUGUCCUACUCCACCUGUUGUCUCUGCCUUCUUUCCAUCUGUAUUUCACCCUGUGGUUUGUGAGAAAUUUUGCCAAACCAAGAAUCUUAUUGCGGUUUGAUUUCAAAACCGUGUCUCUCCUGCUCUGUCUGUUCUUUCUGCUAAAUUUUCUCUCUACCUGUUUUUCACUCUUUGGCUUGCUGCUGAAAAAUGCACAAGCCAAUAAAGCAAUAAAGAGUGCAUAUUUUGCCUCAACCUAUAAACAAACUGAACAAACAAAGAAAACUCUGCGGUUUGAUUUCCAAGCCGUGUCUCUCCUGCUCUGUCUGUUCUUUCUGCUAAAUUUUCUCUCCACCUGUUUUUCACUCUUGGCUUGCUGCUGAAAAAUGCCAAGCCAUUAAAGCAAUUAAGAGUGCAUAUAUUGCCUCUACCUAAGAACAGAGAAAACUCUAAUUCACGGUUUGAUUGUGAUUUCCCAGCCGUGUCUCUCCUGCUCUGCCUGUUCUCUCUUCUAAAUUUUCUCUCUACCUGUUUUUCAUUCUGGGCUUGCUGCUAAGUUGUGCCAAACGAAUAAAGAGAGUGCAUAAUAUUCUCUCGACUGAAGAACAAACUGUCAAAAGAAAGACAACUGUUUCAGAAAAAUAAAAACUGAAAUAUAAAAACAAAGACAAC